rnacentral:rRNA from 1 species
UGCAGUCGAACGAACCUUCGGGUUAGUGGCGGACGGGUGAGUAACGCGUGAGAAUCUGCCCUCAGGAGGGGGAUAACGGCUGGAAACGGCCGCUAAUACCCCAUAUGCCGCGAGGUGAAAUGAAUUUCGCCUGAGGAUGAGCUCGCGUCUGAUUAGCUAGUUGGUGGGGUAAAGGCCUACCAAGGCUUCGAUCAGUAGCUGGUCUGAGAGGAUGAUCAGCCACAUUGGGACUGAGACACGGCCCAAACUCCUACGGGAGGCAGCAGUGGGGAAUAUUGGACAAUGGGGGCAACCCUGAUCCAGCCAUGCCGCGUGAGUGAUGAAGGCCCUAGGGUUGUAAAGCUCUUUUGUGCGGGAAGAUAAUGACGGUACCGCAAGAAUAAGCCCCGGCUAACUUCGUGCCAGCAGCCGCGGUAAU